UUUCCGUAGGUGAACCUGCGGAAGGAUCAUUAUCGUACAAAAUGUGAGGGGCCUGCGUGGGUUGUUGCUGACCCAAUAUUCGUGCACGCCCGAGGGUUUCCUCUUGCAUCAUCAUCAAUCUCACCCUUUGUGCAUCACCGCGUGGGCACCCUUCGGGAUCAUCUAGGAGGGGGGCUCGCGUUUUCACACAAACCCCCCUUUUAAAAGUGUAGAAUGACCACAUUUAUGCAAUCAAUACAACUUUCAACAACGGAUCUCUUGGCUCUC
rnacentral:misc_RNA from 1 species